AUCUCACAUCGCCUUUCCGUUCGCGUUUCAGAGUCUCAUGACGAUUUGCACUACGAACGGACGGUGAGAAACGGAGCUGAAACGAUUUCUUUCUGCGCGCGUCUUGGAAAACCCGUUGCCACUUUGCCACAACGCACAUUGUUGUAUAUGAUACAACGCGGCACUGCCACUAUGUGACAUCAGGAGGAUAACGGCAACAAUAACAAUAACAACAACAGCGAAGCAUCAACGACGAACACGAUAUACACGCGCUGAACACGCAACAAGCACAGCGGGCAGCCAUAUUAUUACCGUCUUUUCGCAGUCCGCGCCUCUGUUGUAGACAUAAUGGUAACCCGCACCACGGACUCGCUGCUCACCUGCCCAGUGAAGAGAGGAGAAGAAGGAAGAAACGUGCACGUCAGGGUGGUAAAUGUAUCUGGACGUUCGUCAUCAUCGAUUACGUAAAUUAAACGGAAAACGGAACUGGCUUUUGUCUAGCAGGAAGAAAUAUGAAAAUUUUGCGACACAAUGCAACGAUACACAGAAUCUCGACCCCUUCACACACUUACAGACGGUUUGGAUAUAAAUCACGCGGAUUUACGGCCUCAGUUAAAAAGGCUGCAAUAAAGGAAGCAGACAUGGCAGAGUAAAUCAGUGAGAGAUCGCGAAAUACAUAUCACCAUCGCUGCAACAGGGCGUGAAAAGAGCUUUACCAAAUCUCUGGCAGAAUUCCCAAGGAAGUCUGAAGGAGAAUGAUCCGUAGUAGUACAACCUUGAAAGCAGUAAAGUGGUCGAGUAAUACCAAGAAAGUAAAAUAACUACUUAGUUGAGUGAUAAAUCGAUUUUCGCAAA